rnacentral:lncRNA from 1 species
CCAUUUCUCAUUCUUAUGGCCGGCCAAAGCAAGAACAAAAGAAGAAAAGGAAGAACAAAGCCCUAGGUGGAAAAUUCAAGGGAAAAGUGUGAAAAUUCAAAGAAUCAAGCGACAAAAGGUGAGAUUUUUCAAUUCUAGCUUGUGAUCUACCUUUCCUAUGCAUUCUUUUUCAUUUUCCAUGGUUGAGAAUCAAGUUUGCAUGAGGAUACCCUUGCUAGCCGGACAUGGGUGGAGGAGUUUUGAUGCUUGAUUUGGUUAGAUUUUAAGAUAUUUUAGUGUUUUUAGUUAGUUAGUGAUGUGUAGCAUGAAAAUCAAGCAAGAAAAAUUCAUGUUCUUCCAUCAGCCAUCAUUGGCCGAAUUCUCCAUGUGGAAUAUUGAUGAUGAUUUUGAUUUUAUUUCAAGUGAUUUGGUUAGGAAUUAGUGAUUUAUGGUGUGAGAAUCAAGUUUGAAAAAUUAUAGUGUUGAUGCACCCACCAUGGCUGAAUUUUUCAAGAGAAAAUGUGAGGAUGAUUUUCCCAUAUUUCAAGUUAUUUAAUUUGUGUUUCAUGAUUUGGAGUAUUGGGAGAAAAAUGGAAUUGUUUGGAGUUGAAUUGGACAUAUUGGCCAAUUAAUCGAGUGAUAGAUCGAAUUAGGCCAAUACUGUUUUAUUUAGGUAUACAAUUGAAUUUGUGUAGAACACCAUGUUUAGACGAUAAUCCGAACAAUUUACAUUCCAUUUCAUGCAUUAGUAUAGAGCCUGAGUUGGUUUUAUAACAAUUUAGCACAAAUGUAGUAAAUGGCUUAUUGUGCAUUAUGUCUAGGUGGUGAGCAUUCUGGUAAAAGUAAAGAGAUAGUACCUCGAGGAUCAAGAAUCGGAGUACUCAAAACUCGAUUUCCAUUACAGUGAGUAACCUUACUAUCUUCUUAAUUAUCUAAAGUGAUUUUUAUCCGAUUUUGUGAUUUUAUGGAAAAUAAGUUUAAAUGGUAAAUCUUUAUGUUUUAUAAGCAAAAUGUGAUUAAAUGAAAUGAUUUUGUAAAAUUGUCUUGAAAUUGAAAGAUGGUUUUGAAAAUGGAGUAAUUGGAGACUAAUUGUUGUGUUAUAAAUCAUGGUUUGAACUGAAUGGCUUAUGAUAAUAUUGGCAUGAAUGGUUGAAUUGGUAAAUGUGCUGAAAAUGUAUGAACUAUGUAUUUAGCCUUUAGAGGCUGGAUUGUGAUAUAAUUGCCAUGUCAUGCUGUUAAAUUUUAUUGUAUGGUGGGUUAUAAUUAGUCGCUGCAGUGGAUGGGUUCUGUGGACCAGCCUAUUAGAGGGACACGGUAACCCUAUUAUAUUCAUACCUCAGUAUGAGAGGCGCGGUUGGAUAAAUCCUGAGGUUAAAACUUUAGAGUUCAUUUCACGCCAAACCACCACUUGAGGGUGAACUCAGCCAACGCUAAGAAACGGCUAUGUUUUCAAAAUAAAAACAUGAUUUAUGCGUACAAAAACUUUUUAACAACCUUGGCGGACUCGGUUGGGAUAGCCCCAGGUCAAGGUAUCCUUGAUAACUGAGUAUGAGAAUGAUUUUGGCACGAGCCAAAAUUUUUGAAAAUCAUAAGCCUCGUUGUUUAUUUUGGUGAAAUGAAUCUAUUUUAUCUUAUUAAAAUGAGUUCGAAAUAUUGAGAAUCAUUUUUAUGCUAAUCUAUUUUAUCUGUCUCCAUUUACUCAACUUUAGAUAUUUUAGAUGAUAUUUGUUUAUUCUUCUGGAAUUAUAUAAUCUCACCACCCUUCUUUCCACCCAUUUUAGGCUCAGGAUAGUCGGUAGAUAGCUCACUUUGUUGAGGUCUACAGUUGGACUUGCAUCCUCAAAAACUGUAGGUUUACUGCUUUUGAUACUUUUAGUCGUUCGUGGGCCCACGUGUCACUGUAAAUUAAAUUUUAUAGUUUGGUUAUCUGUAUUACAGUAUGUAUGAAUUUAUUUAGUUUUUACGCUACAAAAAUUAUUUACAGGUAACUCUAUAAAUAUUGUUUUAUAAGAAAAUAGAAUAUUUUAUUAAAUAUUUUUAUUAUAUUCAAAUAGUUAUAAUUUCACUUUAAAUGAAUGUUUUAGAUAUCUAAACUUAUUUUUUAUUAUGAAAUAUGUGUUUUCCACUUGCAUACUACAUUUUUAGCUGGUUUCAAAAUUUUUGGGGAAAAAUGACCAAAAUGCCCCUGUGAGACAGAAAUCAUUUUUUUUAUUGAUUUAAGUUGGAAAUAGCUUAAAAUCUUUUAGAACAUGAUAUUUGGCAACGGUUACUCAUAGGGAAAAUGAGAAACUCAUAUUAAAGCCUUGCGGGGUUUCGGUUGACAUUCCAAGUAAUGAGUGUCGAUCGAGACACCUCGGCGGUUAUCAUGGGCUCGAGGGGAGUACCGAGUCGUGACACGGUUGGAUGUCCCGGCCAAGGUAUCCCCAAGAAUGAGUUUUGGCAUGAGCCAAAAUUUUAAGAAAUUCAUAAGCCAUGUUGAUUAUUUGAGUGAAAUAAAAUUAUUUUAUUUAGUUGAAAUGAGUUUGAAACGUUAUGAAUCAUAGAAUGAUGAACUAUUUUAAGUUGUCUCCAUUUACUCGACUUUAGAUAUUUUAGAUGAUAUUUGUUUACUCAAUUAGUUUAUAUAAACUCACCACCUUUCUUUUCACUCAUUCCAAGAUCAGGAUAGUUCGAAAAUAGCUAAUUACGUCGAGGGUUAUUAUUGGACUCGCCUCCUCAGAAAUUGUAGGUCCAUAGCCUUUGUUACCUUUGGUCAUUCGAGGGCCCACACGUCAUUGUAAAUUAAAUUACAUACUCUGGUUAUCUGUGUUACUGUAUGUAUGAAUUUAUUUUGCUUUUACGUUACAAAAAUUAUUUACGCAGAGUUCUAUAAAUAUUGUUUUAUAA